rnacentral:rRNA from 1 species
GAUAAACGCUGGCGGCGUGCAUGAGACAUGCAAGUCGAACGGUCAAUCGGGCUUGCUCGAUUGAUAGUGGCGGACGGCUGAGUAACGCGUAGGUGACCUGCCCCGAAGUGGGGAAUAACUGCCCGAAAGGGUGGCUAAUACCGCAUGUGGUGUCACGUUCGUUCGUGACUCCAAAGUCGUAAGGCGCUUCGGGAGGGGCCUGCGUCCGAUUAGCUCGUUGGUGAGGUAACGGCUCACCAAGGCGACGAUCGGUAGGUGGUCUGAGAGGACGAUCACCCAGACUGGGACUGAGACACGGCCCAGACUCCUACGGGAGGCAGCAGUCGGGAAUUUUGGGCAAUGGGCGAAAGCCUGACCCAGCAACGCCGCGUGGGGGAUGAAGGCCUUCGGGUCGUAAACCUCUUUUCUCAGGGACGAUAAUGACGGUACCUGAUGAAUAAGCCACGGCUAACUACGUGCCAGCAGCCGCGGUAAUACGUAGGUGGCGAGCGUUGUCCGGAUUUACUGGGCGUAAAGAGCGCGCAGGCGGUCGUACAAGUCGAAUGUGAAAGCCCCCGGCUCAACUGGGGAGGGUCAUUCGAUACUGUUCGACUCGAAGGCAGGAGAGGGAAGCGGAAUUCCCGGUGUAGUGGUGAAAUGCGUAGAUAUCGGGAGGAACACCAGUGGCGAAGGCGGCUUCCUGGCCUGUUCUUGACGCUGAGGCGCGAAAGCUAGGGGAGCAAACGGGAUUAGAUACCCCGGUAGUCCUAGCCGUAAACGAUGGACACUAGGUGUUGGCGGUAUCAACCCCGCCAGUGCCGUAGCUAACGCAUUAAGUGUCCCGCCUGGGGAGUACGGCCGCAAGGCUA